rnacentral:rRNA from 1 species
UACGUAGGUGGCAAGCGUUGUCCGGAAUCAUUGGGCGUAAAGCGCGUGUAGGCGGUCCGGUAAGUCCGCUGUGAAAGUCGGGGGCUCAACUUCGAGCUGUCGGUGGAAACUGUCUGGCUAGAGUCCGGAAGAGGAGAAUGGAAUUCCUGGUGUAGCGGUGAAAUGCGCAGAUAUCAGGAAGAACACCCGUGGCGAAGGCGGUUCUCUGGGACGGUACUGACGCUGAGACGCGAAAGCGUGGGGAGCGAACAGG